rnacentral:snoRNA from 1 species
ACGGCCUUUAUGAUGAAACAUUUUCGGAUGAAAAACAUACUUGUCUGAAUUGCGCAAACAACCCCAUGUUGAUAUUUCCGUUGCCUUCCUUCUGAUCCGGCGA